GGUCAGCUGACACAUCCCUGCCAAUCUCCGGCAGACCCUCCCUCCCAGACCCUCUCACCUCCUGGACAGCAUCCAUGUUGAAGCUGCCUUCAACAUGGAUGCUGUCCAGGAAGUAGGAGAGUCUGGGAGGGAGGGUCUGCCGGAGAUUGGCAGGGAUGUGUCAGCUG